rnacentral:rRNA from 1 species
UCGAGAAUCUUUCGCAAUGGGCGCAAGCCUGACGAAGCGACGCCGUGUGAGCGAAGAAGGCCUUCGGGUUGUAAAGCUCUUUCGCUAGGGAACAAGAGAUAUGGGACAAUACCCCAUAGAUUUGAUGGUACUUGGUAAAGAAGCACCGGCUAACUCCGUGCCAGCAGCUGCGGUAAUACGGAGGGUGCAAGCAUUGAUCGGAAUUACUGGGCGUAAAGGGCGCGUAGGCGGUUAUGUAAGUCAGAUGUGAAAUUCCGGGGCUCAACCCCGGAGCUGCAUUUGAAACUACAUAGCUAGAGUGUAGUUAGGGUAAACGGAAUUCCACGUGUAGCGGUGAAAUGCGUAGAUAUGUGGAAGAACACCGGUGGUGAAGACGGUUUACUGGGCUAUAACUGACGCUGAGGCGCGAAAGCAUGGGGAGCAAACAGG